ACUCAAAGGAAUAGACGGGGGCCCGCACAAGCGGUGGAGUAUGUGGUUUAAUUCGACGCAACGCGAAGAACCUUACCAGGGCUUGACAUUGAGUGAAAAACUUAGAGAUAAGUUCCUCCCUUCGGGGACACAAAAACAGGUGGUGCAUGGCUGUCGUCAGCUCGUGUCGUGAGAUGUUGGGUUAAGUCCCGCAACGAGCGCAACCCUUAUCCUUUGUUGCCAGCACGUUAUGGUGGGAACUCAAGGGAGACUGCCGCAGACAAUGCGGAGGAAGGCGGGGAUGACGUCAAGUCAUCAUGCCCCUUAUGUCCUGGGCUACACACGUACUACAAUGGGCUUAAACAAAGUGAAGCAAGACCGCGAGGUUGAGCCAAACACAUAAACAAGCUCUCAGUUCGGAUCGGAGGCUGCAACUCGCCUCCGUGAAGUCGGAAUCGCUAGUAAUCGCAGGUCAGCAUACUGCGGUGAAUACGUUCCCGGGCCUUGUACACACCGCCCGU
rnacentral:rRNA from 1 species